rnacentral:rRNA from 1 species
CUACGGGGGGCUCCAGUGGGGAAUAUUGCACAAUGGGGGAAACCCUGAUGCAGCAACGCCGCGUGGAGGAUGACACAUUUCGGUGCGUAAACUCCUUUUAUAGGUCAAGAUAAUGACGGUAGCCUAUGAAUAAGCGCCGGCUAACUCCGUGCCAGCAGCCGCGGUAAUACGGAGGGCGCAAGCGUUACUCGGAAUCACUGGGCGUAAAGAGAAUGUAGGCGGGUUAAUAAGUCAGAAGUGAAAUCCAAUAGCUCAACUAUUGAACUGCUUUUGAAACUGUUAACCUAGAGUGUGGGAGAGGUAGAUGGAAUUUCUGGUGUAGGGGUAAAAUCCGUAGAGAUCAGAAGGAAUACCGAUUGCGAAGGCGAUCUACUGGAACAUUACUGACGCUGAGAUGCGAAAGCGUGGGGAGCAAACAGGAUUAGAUACCCUAGUAGUC